UACGGGGGGGGCAAGCGUUGUUCGGAAUUACUGGCGUAAAGGGCUCGUAGGCUGCCAACUAAGUCGGACGUGAAAUCCCUCGGCUUAACCGAGGAACUGCGUCCGAUACUGCGGUGCUUGAGGAUCAGAGGGGGUGCAUGGAAUUUCCGGUGGAGCGGUGAAAUGCGUUGAUAUCGGAAGGAACUCCGGCGGCGAAAGCGAUGCACUGGCUGAUUUUCUGACGGCUGAGGUGCGAAAGCCAGGGG
rnacentral:rRNA from 1 species